CUGAACCAGCCAAGUAGCGUGCAGGAAGACGGCCCUCUGGGUUGUAAACUGCUUUUAGUUGGGAAUAAAACGCGGUACGUGUACCGCCUUGUAUGUACCAUCAGAAAAAGGACCGGCUAAUUCCGUGCCAGCAGCCGCGGUAAUACGGAAGGUUCAGGCGUUAUCCGGAUUUAUUGGGUUUAAAGGGAGCGCAGGCGGACCUUUAAGUCAGCUGUGAAAUACGGCGGCUCAACCGUCGAACUGCAGUUGAUACUGGAGGUCUUGAGUGCACACAGGGAUACUGGAAUUCAUGGUGUAGCGGUGAAAUGCUCAGAUAUCAUGAAGAACUCCGAUCGCGAAGGCAGGUAUCCGGGGUGCAACUGACGCUGAGGCUCGAAAGUGCGGGUAUCAAACAGGAUUAGAUACCC
rnacentral:rRNA from 1 species